rnacentral:lncRNA from 1 species
UAAUGGAAAGUGAUCCUUUCGAGUAGCUGAGUUAAGCUUAUGAUAGUCAAUGCACACUCUCCAUCCAGUCACCGUCCGUGUAGGAAUCAACUCAUUUCUCUCAUUUUCUAUCACUGUGAUUCCUCCUUUCUUGGGAACAACUUGCACUGCACUGAUCCAUGCACUAUCUGAUAUUGGAUAAAUAAUGCCCGCAUCGAGCAACUUCAAUACCUCAGCUCUAACCACUUCCUUCAUGUGUGGAUUCAAUCUCCGCUGCCCAUCAAUGCUUGG